CUUGUCUUAGUGUUAAUGGGUUAGCAUAUCUCACUGUGAAUGAGAAGGUACGGGUUCAAGUCCCGUAGGCAUGA
rnacentral:tRNA from 1 species